UUUAAUGACAUAAAUACAUAGAGACUAUUAUGAAUAAUACCUUAUGUCACACCCGGAUUUCAGGGGCACCAAGACCCGGGCGCGAACAUAAUCACCAGGUGUGCUGGGACCAAGUCUCACACAUAUGAUGAAUCAUGGCACGGGAUCGAAUGUCACAUCUUUACUACAUGACAGGAGUUCUAUACAAAAUAAAUAAAUAGUUACAUUAUAAGGAGACAACGGUCCAGCAACCCAAAGUUGACUGGGAGACGACGGCCUAGAUCUCUCUCACGAACUCAUCGCAACAUCCUCCAUGCGCCUCAUCCUGUGGUACCUGUUCUUGACCUGUGGGGGGUGUGAGACAGCAAGAGUGAGCUCACAUACGUUCAUCGCUCAACAAGUUGUGGGGAAUAAUGUGCAUGAACUCGCCAAAGGUGGGAGCUCACGUGAAGUGUAAGGCUUACCAAAGAGGAUGGUUAGAGCUGAGCAUUGCUUUUAAAGUUGGUCAAAAUUUUAUUAGCAGUUACUAAGUAUAAGUAAAUACCAAACCCAAUUAAGUAGUAGAACAAAAGUAACAACAUCACCUGCGAUGCAAUGCAUAUGACAAAUUGAAUUUAGUUCCAUAAAUUAAUCAUCAGAGAGUCCUGAGCUGCUCAUGACCGUGAGCUCGGCUAGUAUACCAGUUUUACACUCUGCAGAGGUGGUACCCUUUACCCACAAGUCAUGUUACCCAUCUGCCAAGGGAUCGCGACUUCCCAUACACCUCUACCGAGGAGGCGAGGCAGGGUAACACUACGAGGCCUUUACAAAGUUCCACUAGCUUCAGAAAACCCGCUACAGUUUAUAGGAAGCUCCAAUGUAGGGUUCUUGCCUGACCGCCAUCGCAGCAAAAUCAACCAAGGACCUCCCUACACUGACCACUCCCCUACUGCCCUUGCCCCUUUCGGGUAAGGUAGUCCUCCACUAGCUUUCCUAAUUAAUCAGCCAAGGGCGUCCAUAAACCCUUGUGGUGGCACGUGUUUCUCAAGUUAAGCUCUAUGUUCCAAUUAACAUUAAUGAUCUUGACAUGAACAUAAAUAGAAUAACAAAAUAACUGGAACAUAGAUAUGAUAAAUAAUUAUCCCAAAUCCAUGUAAAGCAAUAGCAAACUACCCAAGUGAUUCAGGGGUAAACAAGGUAAUGAUAUAAAUAAUCUAGGGUAACCUAUUGGGUCCCAUCAAAAUUAACCUAUGCAUGAAUAAAUGAUAUUAAAGAACAUUAUUGGGUAGAAAGUGGUCAAGGGCACAACUUGCCUGGGACUUGAGAUUCCAGGUAACAGGAUGAUCUUCAGGUGACUCGUGACCUCGCGCUAGUCGUAGCAAUACAAACAAACAUAAUAUAGACAAAAUUAACAUCACACCAAACAUAAGAACGGACUGCAUAAUAACGAUCUACGUGUUGCUACGAGACUAACGCAACUGGAACGAGUCAAAUCGUAGUUAAAACGAAGGAGUUAUGAUUUUCCUAAGGUUUCAUGUACUUGAUAUAGGAUUAAUUAGGAAAUAGAUUUUUUUAAAGUGGCUUUCAUGUCAUAUCAGUGGCACUAUUUGAUAAACAAUAAUAUUAUAAAAUUAUAGGACCUAAAAUGGGUCAAUUCAGAGUUACGGUGAUCGAGUUAUGUUUUUCUGAACUUUUAGGUGAUUAAAUAUAGAACAAAAUAAGUGCAUUAUUUUAAUCUAUAUUUCAUGACAAAAUGAAGUUACCUGAUGAUAAACAAUAUCACUAUGGGUUUAUUGCAAUUUGAACGGACCGAAAAGGAGUUAAAUUCAUCAAGAUAUGAAUUUCCUAAGAUUGGGAACACUAUUUUUCUAUACUAAAAUGAUUUCUGGAUUUAGUUUAGUUUAUUUCUUAAUUAUCUGGGCUACGCGUCAAAUAUCAGAGAAUGCAGGGGCUCGGUGUAACUCUUCCAAUGACUCAGUUAUCUACCAGGACGGACCGCGGGUUGAAUCCCUAUGAACAGAAGGGUUCUUUAAGAUAUGUACACGCCGAAGGGGUAUGCAGCGCCUGGGAUCGCCCGAUUAGAGAUUGACGCAUAGGAUUAGAUCCUCUCCCUAUGCGAACAGGUAUGCACCGCUGACCAUUGGAUCAACGAUCGGACGGCGCCGGUUUAAUGAAUCCUAAAGCGAUGUCCAUCAUCCGAUCUCGAUCGGACGGAUAGCAGUCGCCCAAGCCGAAUGGGUGAGCCACAUCUAAUCUCUAUCGUCCGUUCAGAUCAAACGGUAGAGGCGUCUUCUUCCCCCCGACGCACUACAGGGCCGCGCCAGCACACCCGAACGGCGGCGCCCUCGCCGGAGAGCGUGAAUCCGACCCUCACGAACGCCAUACCCCGAUUCACUCGGCCCUCGCCGGAUUGACGACUUCCCAAACUCAAUCCCCAAACAAAUUUCGGCCGACAUCGAGCACAGGAAACGGUCCACGGCGCACAGAUCACGACGGUAGUAUAUCAGCCACGCGACCUGAAGGACCACACGCUUCCACUCAAUAAAGCCGCUCCCCAUCAAACUGGCGGGACUGCGCAACUUGCCGGAGCGAGCACCAUCAUUCUUCCGAGCGCUCAUUCCCCACAGCUACUAGCGCAACACGAAGAAGUAACGGGAAAAGAAAUUAGUACGAGGUGUUCCUUACCGUUGGAAUUGGGGUGCAGUUCUCAGCCCAUGGUGCUACGCGGUCUCGCGGCGGAGGAAUAUCCCAGCGUUGAAUCCAUGACGGUGCUGAACCGGUGGUCCACUCCACGCUCUCUAACGCCGGCACGAUCCUGCGCACCCCCAGCUUCCCGGUUAAAGCCCUUCGAUGGCACGCGGGCGGAGUAGCCGUUGUGGCUCUCGGCGGCUACCAAGUUCUCUGUCCUUGCGUGGUUAUGGUGUUUGGUUCCC
rnacentral:lncRNA from 1 species